AAGGUAAUAAGCAGAUAAAAAGUUCUUUUGUAAACUGUGUCAUUUAUGAGACGAUUGGUGAACUAGUAUCGGAGAAUGUGGAACAGAACUUUCUGGUUAAGAAAUGUACGGGUUAUCCCAACGAAGGGGCAACACUGAUUGAUCUGCCUCUGGGAAUGCCAACGGGGGUGUGUUCUGAUUUUUCUGUGAAGUACAUAGAAAUCUUAGUUGAAUCCCAGACUACAGAAGUCUCGGCAAAAGCUCAAGGCAGCAAUUCAGCGUUUGAUGUCCUGAUGAAUGUGAACAGAGUAAAAAAGUAUGACUGGCUUCCAGAAAAAAAGGACGAUCCUAAGAACAGAAAGGAGAAACUUUAUAACGAAAUCCUGAGGCACCAUGAGGCGAAAAACAGAAAGAUGUUGGCAUUCUGAUUAUCAACACUCUAACUGAUGUCUGUUGGUUCUUGGACCCAUUCAUUGAGAGGUUUGAAAAAAGGUGCAUAAAUAUACCCAAAGUAUGGAAGUUUCAUGGGUUCAGGGAUUGGAGAUCACAACACAAGAAACCUCUACAGAUUUCAUCUGAAGAACUUGCCAAAAAAUCCAACGCACUGGCUAAAGUUUUUAUGCUGCCUUGGUGGUUGAACAGGAGUUUUUCUGCCUUCAAAGAUAGCGUGUCCGAACUUCUGUCUGCCAUGGAGUACUAUCAUAAAUCUCUGGCUGAUCAACUGGAGAGGACACAAAGGAAUCACUACUCCUCAACCCCAGUGCGAUCAGUGGCUGACAAUUGGGGUCUUACUGUAAUUGAAGCUGAAGAAAUGCAAAGGUAAUUGUCCUUACUGCAUUCUGAACCCCCCACGCCUACCAGGUGAUGUGUUUGAAGGACUCCAUUUCUUGCCUGACCCAGUGUCAGAUGGGGACAACCACUACAAACCAUUUGCAGCAGUUUAUGGCACCAAAACCGACGACAAACAACGUCCAUCUCUAUCUCUGAAGCCUGAGAUGACUGACCGGGAUAAAAAGCUUAAACAUAUGUUUGUUGGUGCCAAAGUCUGAAGCUUCCUGCGAUGCUGUGAGUGUGGGAAGAGACGUGUUGUCUUUGCUGCCAAAAAGCUAAAUGCUGUCGAACAGAACAAGCUUACAAGAGUUAUGGAGGAACAACUAUAUGUAUGUGGAAACACCCUCUUCCCUGUAAGCCCUCUCCAGGAUAUCUUAGUGGUUA